UAAUAAUGUUAUUUGUGUCACUCAUUUAGUGACAAGUGACGCAAAUGAGUGAUAGAAUUAAAAUGCGUCACUCCUUUAACUAAUGAGCGACGCAAAUAAUAAUGUGCAGCAUUAUACUUUUAAUUAUUUGCGUCACUUGUUAUUUCUGAUUCACUUGCUAGCUGCCUCCCUUUUACCACUCCUAUCUUCCAAGACAGCGAUUUCCAAGAGCUAAACACCCAGAAAUUCGAGCAAAAAACCCCAGAAAUUCGACCCAGCACACACCCCAAGAAAUUCGAGCAAAAAUCACCCAGAAAUUCAAGGAAAUUCGACCCUAAAACCCCCAGAAAAUUGACCCAAAACCCCCCAGAAAAUCGACCCAAAAAUCCCCAGAAAUUCGACCAAAAAAACCCCCACAAAUUCAAUAACCAAACCGCAAUCAAAUCAACACCCAUAAUCGGAAAAAAUUCAGAGCUACAAUCCCCCAAUUUCGAGCAAAACACCAAAAAAAACCCCCAGAAAAAUUGAGCAAAUUCUGGGCAUUAAUUCGAGCACAUUCGAUCAAAAUAAUCGAGCAUUAAUUUGAGCAAAUUCGAGCAAAAAAAUCGAAUCAAAACCCCAUGAAUUCGAACCCUAGAAACCCCAAAAAAUUCGAGCAAAAUUACUGUCCUCAUAGUCGACCAAUGUUGGGAAUUUUUGAGUUUGUGAAGUCGAUUUCACCUAAGGUUGAUUAUGAGUACAACAUGUCAACUGAUACCAACCCAUAGCAGUUCGACCGUGUUCGCUCCUCCAAAUCAACUGCAUUUAGGCUCGACAUUGUUGAAUUUGUGAAGUCGAUUUCACCUAAGAUUCUUAAUUAUGCGAAAGUGAAUUCCACAAGUUGCUCGAGGUUCUGGUUGUGGACAAACGAUUAAGGCAGUAGUACCUAUCACCACAAGUUGGUUUGGAAUAGCAAGUAAAACUACCCAUACAUGCCAAGAAAAUUCAUCUAACUUCUAAAUAUUUCACUGGGAAUCCGUGAGAGAAAUCAUUCCCAUCUGUGCUCAAUUUAUCUGGUUUGUUUUCUUGUAUCAAAGGUGAUUCUUGGGAUCAGUUUGUUUUUUUAAGGGGUUUUUUUUUCUUGUUAAUAUAAGAGAUAUUUUAUAGUAUUGAAAUGACAAAAGCACAUCUUUGGCACACUUACAAUAAAUGACUACUAAUGUUUUGGAUAAAGCUUGUCAUUCGAAAGCUAAUAUAAAUUGCCAUUUAUGUUACAUUGUUACGAGUAUCACAUAUUACCAGUUCUUGAAGAAGUAGGAAAUUUAAACAUGCUGCACUCUUUGAUGUUAAGACUAUUAAGUGGUGGCUAGUUGGCUACACUUGAAUACUCUUAUUCAUCUUUGCUUCCAUGCCAUUUCAGAUUGCAGAUGUGUGGUCUUGUGGGGUAACUUUGUAUGUAAUGUUGGUCGGGGCUUACCCAUUUGAGGACCCUGAGGAACCCAAAAUUUUUUGCAAAACAAUACAUGUAAGUCAUUUACUAUUUUAUAUACCAAGGUGGUGGCUUCUUUGGUUGCCUGUCUGACCCUUAGUGAUUUCUGCUAUGUCACUAAAUAAUUAUCUUAAAUUAUAGCAUGGUGAUACAUUAGAUAGUUUUGCCUCACUUUAGAUAGUAGUUGUUGCUGUGUACUCUAAUCAUUCAUCUUUCCCAUGACCAUACUUUGAGCACUAUGGCCCAUUUUUUUUUAUCUUCCUUUUUUUUCCAAGGUCAAUAGUUAUAAUUAGUGGAGUUUUGGUUUAUGAGUGAUUUUAUCGAUAUUUUAUAGUGAGUCAUUUUAUGCGAUAUUUGAUGUCUAAUGAUAAUUACAUCAAUUAAGAGAGACUAGCAUUGCCAUUUUGCGUUGCGUCUUGUGUGCAACAGGAUAUCCACAAGACCACAACCUUCUUAAGAUCAAGAAACAUUGAAUAUUAAUUUAUUCACAAAUUUAUCAUAGAUUAUGAAGGCUUGUGUGUAUAAAUACUACCCUUUUUCUUGUUCAAGAAUAUGUGAAUUUUCUUUUUUUUUGGCGGUAUGUGGUUGGUUAAUACUUAAUAUCUUAUUACAAUCAUUUUGCAUAAGAUUGAAGAACUAAUUUGUUCAGUUUAUUAUUUGGAGUUUAAAGCUGUUAUAGGUCCUUCUACUGUUGGAGUUAUGAGAGCAGGAGCCUUCAAGAUUGGUGAAUCGCUGGGACUAUUGACAACAUUGUCUAGUGCAAGCUUUCCACCGUAUACCGAGGAGGAGAUAAAUGAGAUUCGAGAUAUUUGGGCAGAGUAUUUUAUAUGUAAUGUUGAACUUUAGAUUUACACUUAGCGCAUGUUGGACUCUUGUUUUGGAUUAUAGGCUUGACAUGAAUGAUUUUGGUUAAUUGGUAUUGGGAUGAUGAGUAUAAUGUCUAUGAUAUUGAGAUGUAAAUUAUUGGACAGGUUGUUAAUAUAAUGCCAUCAUUCCCAAUUUUAUGGGUAGGCCAAAAUACAAAGGAGACUCUACCGAAAUUUACAUUUGCAUUCAAUAAUAUUGCAUUUUAAUUUCAA